rnacentral:rRNA from 1 species
UACGUAGGUGGCAAGCGUUGUUCGGAUUUACUGGGCGUAAAGGGCGCGUAGGCGGUCGUGACAAGUCACUUGUGAAAUCUCCGGGCUUAACUCGGAACGGUCAAGUGAUACUGUCGGACUAGAGUACAGAAGGGGCAACUGGAAUUCUCGGUGUAGCGGUGAAAUGCGUAGAUAUCGAGAGGAACACCUGCGGCGAAGGCGGGUUGCUGGGCUGAUACUGACGCUGAGGCGCGGAAAGCCAGGGGAGCGAACGGG